UACGUAGGGUGCGAGCGUUGUCCGGAAUUACUGGGCGUAAAGAGCUUGUAGGCGGUUUGUCGCGUCUGCCGUGAAAAUUCGAGGCUCAACCUCGAACUUGCGGUGGGUACGGGCAGACUAGAGUGUGGUAGGGGAGACUGGAAUUCCUGGUGUAGCGGUGAAAUGCGCAGAUAUCAGGAGGAACACCGAUGGCGAAGGCAGGUCUCUGGGCCACUACUGACGCUGAGAAGCGAAAGCAUGGGGAGCGAACAGG
rnacentral:rRNA from 1 species